CUACGGAGGGUGCAAGCGUUAUUCGGAAUCACUGGGCGUAAAGGACGCGUAGGCGGGUUGGCAAGUCAGAUGUGAAAUCCUACAGCUUAACUGUAGAACUGCAUUUGAAACUGCUAACCUAGAGUAUGGGAGGGGGAGAUGGAAUUAGUGGUGUAGGGGUAAAAUCCGUAGAUAUCACUAGGAAUACCGAAAGCGAAGGCGAUCUCCUGGAACAUAACUGACGCUAAGGCGUGAAAGCGUGGGGAGCGAACGGGAUUAGAAACCCUUGUAGUCC
rnacentral:rRNA from 1 species